CAGCAGCCGCGGUAAUACAGAGGAUGCAAGCGUUAUCCGGAAUGAUUGGGCGUAAAGGGCUCGCAGGCGGUUUCUUAAGUCUGAUGUGAAAGCCCCCGGCUCAACCGGGGAGGGCCAUUGGAAACUGGGAAACUUGAGUGCAGAAGAGGAGAGUGGAAUUCCACGUGUAGCGGUGAAAUGCGUAGAGAUGUGGAGGAACACCAGUGGCGAAGGCGACUCUCUGGUCUGUAACUGACGCUGAGGAGCGAAAGCGUGGGGAGCGAACAGGAUUAGAUACCCCAGUAGUCCCUGUCUCUUAUAC
rnacentral:rRNA from 1 species